rnacentral:lncRNA from 1 species
ACACAAAUUCAAAAGACCAAUUUCAACCUAAAAAUGUUUCCAAAUACUCUGUUCCCCAAAUAUGCAUACAAAAUUAUUGAAAUCAAAGUAAUCAUGAAUGGUGAAACUUUUUUAAUGCAAGGGUAUGGGUUUCUUAAUAAAUUAAUUGAUAUUUAAUAAUAAAAUAUAUUUUAGUAAUAUUUAUUCAAUUGAAUCUAAGAUUAUUUCAUUAUUCUGGUAUAGUUCAUGGCUAUGACCAAGGGGAAAAAAAAAAACUAACAUUUUUCUCAAAGCUGGCAGAAUGUUGAGAUCAUGGAGUGGAGUAUUACUAUGCAAAGAAGCUAUACAAAAUCACAUUGUACAAUCUAAUGUCAUGAAUAUGAGGUUUAUUUCAUUUUAUCAGUAAUUUAACUGAUAUCUGUUUGUCUCUAUAAAAUAUAGUGCAAGGUGCUGUAGAAGAUAAAUUGAUGACUCAAAUAUAAAUAUUUCCUUCAAGAUAUUUAGAGAUUAAUAGCAAAGAUAAAGAAUACUUGUAAAUUAAAAUAGCAGUAUACUUGAGGCCUCAUGUAAAUAACAACAAAUCAAUGGUAACAAUUAUGUUAGAAUACUGCCAGGAGCUAUCAGUACUGAGUGCUUCUCUGCCAAGGACUGGUAACUCUUGAGAAUAACCAUCAAGGUCAACCCUGAUAUAGGUCUGAGGGAAGCCACCAGUGGUCUUUAUUAAAACCCAGCAUGUGAUAAUGGAAAAGGACUCUCUUCAAUGAGGGUCUCACUCAAUGCUCAAGAAUUAUUCUGAGCUCUUGGUUAAGAAUUCUCUAGAAGGAUCUCUUCUCUAGUACCUUAGUACCCUAGUACCCUAGAUUGGACUGAGUAUUCUCUUUUCAAUACUUCCUCUCUACCUGAUAAAGGUAUUUAUGUUAGUGAGAUAAGAACAGAGAAUAGACCCUUGAUUGAACAAGAAUUUCAUAAUACCUCAAAAAAAACAGCUCUCACUUAGCAGCUUGAGUUUGAGAAACACCAUCAUCUUCAGUGUCCCAAAGAGAAAAAAAAAAAUAGAAGACCAAAAACCAACCAACAAAACCACACAUGUCUCUUGGCAUUCUAAAAAUUGACCAAAAUACUGAUAGAAACUUCUAUCUGCCAUUCUUGCUCUAAACAUUCCCCUUAAGAUCAAAGUUUCUGGAAAGCCCCCCAGAACAGAUCAGAAACAGAACCAGGAAUUCAUUCAUUAACUUUAUCUUUUCUUCUAUUUCUUCUUUUACUCUACAGGUAUUUACUAGGCAGCAAAUUCCCAGAGAAAGUGGUCCAUCAGCUGAUUUUUGAAGAAUUUGCAAAAGACACCUGGGUUUUGUGGUGAAGAAUUUCAUACAGAAUACGUUCAUGUGGAAGGCAUGAUAAGUUUAAGAAACAAUAGGUAAUCUAAAACAUCUUGAACCAUAGCCAUGUUGCAUGUGUGUGAGGCGCUGGUGGGGGAAAGUGCUGUAUGUACUUGUUGCUGGUUACAGUGACACUAAACCAUUAUGGGCCUUACUGCUAUGUUUGAGUUUGGGAUUUCUCUUAAAAAUUAGAGACAUUGAAUGAUGUUAACAAGAAGAGGUAGGAAGAAUCUUCCAUUUUAGAAAGAAUUCCUCUAGAAAAGCCUGAACAAUAACUGAUGCACAAUAAAUAAUUUUGAAUGAAUUAAUGAAUAAUGGUCAUAGCUAAUUCAAGGACAAAUAGAUAAAAAGACAACUAUAGAGAAAACUAAGUAAUACAUUCUUUAUAACUUGAAAAAUGAUUGAAGUGUGUUUUAAAAAAUGAGAGAAAUCAAGUAUGUCUAUGUGAAAAAAAAAAGACUGAAACAAACCCUAGGUUUCUUGUUUAGGGCUUUUAAAUCAUACCUACCCAUGUGGACAAUACUAUAUUUUGGAUACACAAAUGUAGAUGCUAUCUAUCCAUAAAUGGCAUUUACUGAAUCUACAGGGGCACCUUGGGUACUAUAGAACUUAUUUAAUUUAGCCUAGACAGUCUUUCUACAACAUCUUAGAUGAAUUUGCCAUUUAAAUCAUGUCCUCAAAAUUUCUAGCAAAACUGGCAUAUUGUCCCAUCAAAAACAGCUGUUUUGAUUCAAACAGUUCAUAUAAAAAUCAGCAAUACAGACUUAGCAAUAGCAUCAGAAAAAAACAAGCCACAAACAAUCUACAAAUGGUAAACAAGGCUCUUUGUCUAUUUUUAACAUUUGUUUUAAUAUCAGUGAUCAAUGGCAACACAUUUUAAAACAAAUAAUCUUCUUUUUUCCCUAAGUUAUUUUCAAAUGCAAAUCUCUAAAACCACUCUGAGGCAAGCCUUUGGAAUGUUUCAACUUAAUAAACUCCAGCUGCCUUUAAAAAAAAAAGUGAUUUAAUCUUACACUAUUUGCCUGAACCUCUUCUGAAUUUAAGAUGUAAUUGAAUUGGUCCGGAGUCAUAUUACAAAAGAAAAACUCUAAGAGGAUUUUGGAAAAGGGAGAUGAAAUGUUUAAAAUUAUGUUUUAGUUCAUUUGGAGGACAGCCAUAUAGACUUUGAAACUGUCAUAGCAUUAAAUUCUGAGCAAGCAAUCUCAUAGUACAUUUGCAAACCUAAAAAAAAAAAUUCCUACCGUAAUUUAUUUUUAGUUUUGAAAGAGAUGGGAAUGGAAUAUGUUUAGUUUUGUCAGCAUUUCACCUAGAGAUAUCAAAUGCUAUAUUCCUGUAUUUAUAUGACUAGGUUUUAUCUACUGUAACGGAGAAGGCUAAGCAUGUAUAUAGAAAGACUUCAGCCAACAUUUUGUUAAGAUAGAAAUUUAUUAUCCACUGAUAAUCAGGCCCCUCAAUCAUUUUCCUUUAUUAAGAACAUAUCAUAUAUUCUUUUUUUCUUUUUAAUGGCUGAGUAUUAUUCCAUUGUGUAUACAAAAUAUAUUCUUAUACUAUUUUUGCAAUUUUUCUGUAAUUAUAAAAUAAUUUCAAAAUAAAAAAGUUUUAAAAUAAUGACAUUUGCAGCAAUAUGGAUGAAACUAGAGAGUCUCCUACUAAGUGAAAUAAAUCAGAAAGAGAGAGACAAAUGCCAUAUGAUAUCACUUAUAUCUGGAAUCUAAUUCACGGCACACAUGAAACUUUCCACAGAAAAGAAACUCAUGGACUUGGAGAACAGACGUGUGGUUGCCAAGGGGGAGGGAGUGGGAUGAACUGGGAAUGUGAUUGGGUCACUUUGCUGUACAGUAGAAAAUUGACAGAACAGUGUAAACCAACUGUAAUGGAAAAAAUUAAAAUCAUUUUUAAAAAAGAACACAUUGUAUAUCCCUUAAACUGUUUCACUAUGUUAAAAUAUUAUAUAACCAUAAAAAAUUAUCAAGAAAAGGAAAUACAAUACAACAUUGUUAGCUAAAUUAUAAAUCUUAUUCAAAUUUUGCUAACUUUCCACCUAAGUCCUUUUACUAUUGCAGUGUCUCAAAAUGUAUUUAGUUGUAAUCAUCAUCAGUAAUAUACACAUCUUAUAUCCCUUGAUAUUACAGAUAUCAAAGGACUCCAUGUUAUGCUUUUUUUUUUUUUGAGAAAAAUUUGUAAGCUCGAUCCAGUCAGAAGGAAGCAUCAAUCUUACCCACGGUGAGGAACAUUUGAAAAAAAGUGACUCCCCAGUGUUCUUCAAAAGCAUCAAGUUCAUGAAAUACCGACUUUUAUGCCAGUUGCUUUACAAUAUUACCUCUCCUA